rnacentral:tRNA from 1 species
GGAGGUGUAUCUCAGUGGUAGAGCACAUGCUUGGCAUGCAUGAGGUCCUGGGUUCAAUCCCCAGCGCCCCUG